CAAUAGCGUAUAUUAAAGUUGUUGCAGUUAAAAAGCUCGUAGUUGGAUUUCGGGGCAGCCUGGCUGGUCCGCCGCAAGGCGAGUACUGGUCAGCCGCCCUUCCUCUCGAAAGCCCUGACUGCUCUUCGUUGCAGUGGUCGGGUAGUUCGGGACGUUUACUUUGAAAAAAUUAGAGUGUUCAAGGCAGGCCUACGCCUGAAUACAUUAGCAUGGAAUAAUGGAAGAGGACCUCGGUCCUAUUUUGUUGGUUUCCAGGGCCGAAGUAAUGAUUAAGAGGGACAGUUGGGGGCAUUCGUAUUUAAUUGUCAGAGGUGAAAUUCUCGGAUUUAUGAAAGACGAACAACUGCGAAAGCAUUUGCCAAGGAUGUUUUCAUUAA
rnacentral:rRNA from 1 species